rnacentral:rRNA from 1 species
AAUGAGCCUGCGAGUUGUGGUGUCUGGCAAGGUUAAGCAAACGCGAAGCCGUAGCGAAAGCGAGUCUGAAUAGGGCGCUUAGUCAGAUGCUGCAGACCCGAAACGAAGUGAUCUAUCCAUGAGCAAGUUGAAGCUAGUGUAAGAACUAGUGGAGGACUGAACCCAUAGGCGUUGAAAAGCCCCGGGAUGACUUGUGGAUAGGGGUGAAAGGCCAAUCAAACUUCGUGAUAGCUGGUUCUCUCCGAAAUAUAUUUAGGUAUAGCGUUGUGUCGUAAUAUAAGGGGGUAGAGCACUGAAUGGGCUAGGGCAUACACCAAUGUACCAAACCCUAUCAAACUCCGAAUACCUUAUAUGUAAUCACAGCAGUCAGGCGGCGAGUGAUAAAAUCCGUCGUCAAGAGGGAAACAACCCAGACUACCAGCUAAGGUCCCUAAAUCUUACUUAAGUGGAAAACGAUGUGAAGUUACUUAAACAACCAGGAGGUUGGCUUAGAAGCAGCCAUCCUUUAAAGAAAGCGUAAUAGCUCACUGGUCUAGUGAUUUUGCGCGGAAAAUAUAACGGGGCUAAAGUAAGUACCGAAGCUGUAGACUUAGUUUACUAAGUGGUAGGAGAGCGUUCUAUUUGCGUCGAAGGUAUACCGGUAAGGAGUGCUGGAGCGAAUAGAAGUGAGCAUGCAGGCAUGAGUAGCGAUAAUUAAUGUGAGAAUCAUUAACGCCGUAAACCCAAGGUUUCCUACGCGAUGCUCGUCAUCGUAGGGUUAGUCGGGUCCUAAGUCGAGUCCGAAAGGGGUAGACGAUGGCAAAUUGGUUAAUAUUCCAAUACCAACAUUAGUGUGCGAUGGAAGGACGCUUAGGGCUAAGGGGGCUAGCGGAUGGAAGUGCUAGUCUAAGGUCGUAGGAGGUUAUACAGGCAAAUCCGUAUAACAAUACUCCGAGAACUGAAAGGCUUUUUGAAGUCUUCGGAUGGAUAGAAGAACCCCUGAUGCCGUCGAGCCAAGAAAAGUUUCUAAGUUUAGCUAAUGUUGCCCGUACCGUAAACCGACACAGGUGGGUGGGAUGAGUAUUCUAAGGCGCGUGGAAGAACUCUCUUUAAGGAACUCUGCAAAAUAGCACCGUAUCUUCGGUAUAAGGUGUGGUUAGCUUUGUAUUAGGAUUUACUCCGAAAGCAAGGAAACUUACAACAAAGAGUCCCUCCCGACUGUUUACCAAAAACACAGCACUCUGCUAACUCGUAAGAGGAUGUAUAGGGUGUGACGCCUGCCCGGUGCUCGAAGGUUAAUUGAUGGGGUUAGCAUUAGCGAAGCUCUUGAUCGAAGCCCGAGUAAACGGCGGCCGUAACUAUAACGGUCCUAAGGUAGCGAAAUUCCUUGUCGGUUAAAUACCGACCUGCAUGAAUGGCGUAACGAGAUGGGAGCUGUCUCAAAGAGGGAUCCAGUGAAAUUGUAGUGGAGGUGAAAAUUCCUCCUACCCGCGGCAAGACGGAAAGACCCCGUGGACCUUUACUACAGCUUGACACUGCUACUUGGAUAAGAAUGUGCAGGAUAGGUGGGAGGCUUUGAGUAUAUGACGCCAGUUGUAUAUGAGCCAUUGUUGAGAUACCACUCUUUCUUAUUUGGGUAGCUAACCAGCUUGAGUUAUCCUCAAGUGGGACAAUGUCUGGUGGGUAGUUUGACUGGGGCGGUCGCCUCCCAAAUAAUAACGGAGGCUUACAAAGGUUGGCUCAGAACGGUUGGAAAUCGUUCGUAGAGUAUAAAGGUAUAAGCCAGCUUAACUGCAAGACAUACAAGUCAAGCAGAGACGAAAGUCGGUCUUAGUGAUCCGGUGGUUCUGUGUGGAAGGGCCAUCGCUCAAAGGAUAAAAGGUACCCCGGGGAUAACAGGCUGAUCUCCCCCAAGAGCUCACAUCGACGGGGAGGUUUGGCACCUCGAUGUCGGCUCAUCGCAUCCUGGGGCUGGAGCAGGUCCCAAGGGUAUGGCUGUUCGCCAUUUAAAGCGGUACGCGAGCUGGGUUCAGAACGUCGUGAGACAGUUCGGUCCCUAUCUGCCGUGGGCGUAAGAAGAUUGAAGAGAUUUGACCCUAGUACGAGAGGACCGGGUUGAACAAACCACUGGUGUAGCUGUUGUUCUGCCAAGAGCAUCGCAGCGUAGCUAAGUUUGGAAAGGAUAAACGCUGAAAGCAUCUAAGCGUGAAGCCAACUCUAAGAUGAAUCUUCUCUAAGCUCUCUAGAAGACUACUAGUUUGAUAGGCUGGGUGUGUAAUGGAUGAAAGUCCUUUAGCUGACCAGUACUAAUAGAGCGUUUGGCUUAUCUUUAAUAAAGCAU